rnacentral:lncRNA from 1 species
UGACUUGUGGCAUUGUGGAAUUCAUCUACUACAUGAGCAAAUUUGAAGAAGAUCAUGGAGUUGCUAAGCUUGGAUGUGGCUUUCUUUAUUUGAUGCCUUGCUCUUCAAGUUGAUAUAUUGUGCAUUGUUUGUUGCUUUAUUCUAAUGUCCAAGGGAAUUUGGGUUUCUAUAUGACACUCUUGUCUAUUAGAUUGUAACCCAUUGGUCAGAUCUUUUCAACUCCCAACUUUUAAAUUUGUUCUUAGGAUUAGUC